AACAUACACAGCACUAUUAAAUUUCAAAAUUCUGAGACUUCCGGGAGCGUCUCCAAGAUGGCGGGUUAAAUCUGUAAUCUGUCCUGAUCAGCGACAAGGAAGACUCCACUAAACUCGAUUAAGAGACUCAGCUCUUCAAAAUUAUAUAUUAUGCAUGGAGUUAGAUCAAAAAAGAGACUGGGGGGUGCAAAAAGUCACAAUCAGGCAAGGACUGAUCUAAGAAACUUUGGAAAAAGCUAGCAUGAUGCAGGACUCGGACCCUAGCGAGGAGAGUGAGCUAAUGACUGCUAAGGCUAUCCAGAAUCUAUGCAACACUAUCAAAGUAAUGCAAAAUGACUUCACUGCUAUGAAAAAUGACACCAUGCAAGACCUGAACAGCUUUAAGAGUGAAAUUAACAAGAAACUGGAAGAGGUCAGCUGGGACUUUCGUAACCUAGCUGCUAGGCUAACGGAAGCGGAACAACGGGUGAACGAGCUGGAGACGGUGAACAUGGACUUGAGAGAUUCCUUGUCUUAUUGCCUCAAACAGCAGAAAAAUCUCCUGG